AGCGCACAGGCGAGAGGCCGUCGCUGCCGGGCUCCCACGACAGGAGAACGCGGCGGGCGCGCACGUCCUUCUGAGGCACGGCGGGGCGGCUGGUGGGCUGCGGGCGAGCUGGCGGGGGACAGGAAGCAGACGCGUGAAAACGCGAUUCAACUUGACCUCACGUUACCUCGUUUCUCCGUGGUGACCACCAGCGCCUCAGCAGCCUUGCCCCAGCCCUUGCGCGUCUGCGCCGUGAUGCGGAACACGUAGACGCACUCAGAUUUGAGGCCGGUGACGGUGUACUGGCGGGCGCUGGGGUUGAGCACGUCCACGGUGGCGGUGUUGCCGUUGCUGGAGUUGAGGUGGUACGUGAUCUGGAUGAUCCCGUUGGGUUGGGAGGGCGACUGCCAAAUCAGACGAACCCAAGUGGUGCGCACCUCCGGGAACAGGAUGCCCAUCGGUGGUCCUGGCACUGCAGGAGGGAGAUGAUGUCACGAUGAUGACAUUUUUCAAGCCAUG